AUGGGAACGAAGGCAGCCAACCGGCGCGGCGGCUGGCGCGGCGGCUUCCGCUCCGCCCUGACGGCGGCGAGGACUCUGGCAGCGCCUGGGGCUCCGGCGGGUCUGCGGGCUGCGGGCCGCGAUGCUGAAGGCCAAGAUCCUCUUCGUGGGGCCCUGCGAGAGUGGAAAAACUGUUUUGGCCAACUUCCUGACAGAAUCUUCUGACAUCACCGAAUACAACCCAACCCAAGGAGUGAGGAUCCUGGAAUUUGAGAACCCACACGUUACCAGCAACGACAAAAGCACGGGGUGUGAAUUUGAGCUCUGGGACUGUGGUGGCGAUCCAAAGUUCGAGUCUUGCUGGCCAGCCCUGAUGAAGGACUCUCACGGGGUGGUGAUCGUCUUCAGUGCUGACAUCCCAAGCCACCUGAAGGAAAUUGAGAUGUGGUAUUCCUGCUUCGUCCAGCAGCAGUUUUUACAGGAUACUCAAUGUCUGUUAAUUGCACACCACAAACCAGGCUCUGGAAGUGACAAAGGAAACCUGGCUUUGGCGCCACCCUUGAACAAGCUGAAGCUGGUGCACUCAAAUCUUGAGGAUGACCCAGAAGAGAUCAGAAUGGAGUUCAUAAAGUAUUUAAGAAGCAUAAUCAACUCAGUGUCUGAGAGCAGAGACCGGGAGGAGAUGUCAAUUAUCACCUAACCGGCCUUCACCUAGACGCUUCCGCAUCCCAAAUGAAGUCAAUUUCAGUGCAGAUCUGAAAUCCAUCCACCUACUAAGGUUCUCAUCUCCCUUUGGCUGUAGAAGACAUUUUCCUUAUUUGGCCAAAGAUGUGACAAGGCACAUGAAAGCCACAGAAGCAUGAAACAGCUCAGACGUGUGGGAAACUCGGUAGUGGAUCGUCACUCAAGGCUGUGUGGAGGAGGGAGUGUCUGAACAGAAAGCUCUUCAAGGAAGAACCACAUCUUGUCCUUUGUAUUCUCCACGGCACCUAUGAGCACCGAGGGACUUGGACGACUUGGGGAUUGGCGACUGUAUGCGGCUGUGGACACCGCAGUGGACGCAGAGAGAUGGAUUUGUGGUUCAGGGCCAUCUCAGAUGGAGAUGCGCUUACCCUUGACUGAAGACAUAGCCUGCCUUCUCUGGGAUGGCUGUCGGCCAUUCUCCUCCAGGUCACACAGGAGGAAGGUCAACUUGUCCUUAUUGCCACCCCUUCCCCCCGACCCGGAAGCCAGAUUAGCCCUGAUGUCCAUAAGGUGGCAGAUGCUUGGUCCCCAUUGCCUCGGCUCUGCCUGGGAGGCGUUGCUGGCUGCCGUGCAUUGCGCUAACCUUGGGAGUGACCUUGAGCGGGGGAGGCAGGGAACAAACAAGAAAUCAGGAUGUUGGAGAGCUCGCCAGUGUCCUGGAUAGGGAUGGCUGGCUCAGGGUCCACCCUCAACAUGAAGUUGGAGCUCUUUGAGAACAAGGCCUAUGUCUGAAGCAUCUCUGUAUUCACAGUGCCUCGCUGAACACCUGGCACUGAGUGCUCCUGUAGUUACCAGCAACCAAGGUUACCAGCGCGGAGGUAACCAGGAGAACGGAUGUUGAUGACUGUACUGAAAGGUCCCACCUGUGCCACCCCCGCCACGAGUGCAUCAUCCUUUCGUACACGGCGAAGCUCUGGGUCCCAAGCACGAAAUGCAGGAACAUCCCUUGUCUUUUGUUAGCUGCAAAAUCUCUAUCUCCCCUACCAAAAAAGGGGACAGAUUCUGUGUAUAUCCAGGGAUUUAUAUAGCCAUGGCGCUCUCUUCUAAAUUUCUUUAAAAGCUAGUAAGUUAGAAAUGUUCGUGGUGGGGUUGAUAAGAGUUAAUGCCUAGUGUUGGCUCUGCCCAUAAGAACUGCAUUUCCUAGAAAGCGAAGGCUGCUUCUAAACAGCUGAACCUCGAACCUGGUGAAGAUGUGAGCAGAUUGUUGAGCAAUAAGGAGAGAAAGGGAGGGCCCUUGCCAGCUGCCUCUUUGCCUGCUUACCCGAGGCUUACGAGCUCACGCACGCCGCUGUCUCUGGGCAGGAGGACAGCUGCUCACUGGGUUUUCGUGCUCCUGACUUGAAAGUGUAUAGCUGGAACGUCAUUUACACUGGAUCUCCAGAACACCCUCUCAAAUCACUCCUCUAAGGACUAUCCCAAGACCAAAUCUUAUCACCCUUAAAUAGGGUGACCCGAACAUCUGGAUUCGGCUGGGCAGGUUCAACUGCGGCCAUAAGUCAAGGGCCUUGGUUCUGUCUGCCAGCCAGGUUCCUCUCCUCCACAUGGCAUCCACUAAAAUGGGGCUGAAAUGUCCAAAAAUGGCUUUUUCCCUCCUGUGCCUGGUGCCUCCGUGUUCUGCCAUGUGGCGUCUCUCUGUGUAGAGUGGCCUGAUCUUCUUGUUUCCCUGGGCUCCAGGAACCCACUGUCUCUGCUCUUCUCCACUCCAUUACACCUGCCCCCCCCCCCACACACACACAGCCCCUCCUGUGGGGAGCGGCCUCAUUCAGCCCCCCCGCCAGGUGGCUGUGUUGUAUCACAUGACCCCCUCUCUGUCACCCUCCCCACACCACACACACAGGCAAGUCAGGGGACCAGGAUCUCUAUAGGCUGGCCAACAACUUUUGAAGUUACCUGACUCAAAAAUAUAAAGGAAACCAGUCAGGCCAGGCAGUUUCCCCUUUUAGGAAAUUUGAACCCCCAAAUCAGACCGUAUAGGCAGUGUGUGACACGAUGUCAUGAGGGCAAGUAGGGCCAUGUGCUGGCCAGAAUUACACUGAGGAGGAAAAUUGGAGACUGAAGAAAAGCAAAACAAGCUGUGACAGGGAGAAAACGCAUUUCGAGUUGCGGGAAGAAUGAGCCUCUUGCGGAAGAAGAUAAAGGAGGGAAUAACCUGAGCAGAGCUGGGACUCCGUGAAAAAGGCGGAGAGAGGAGCCAGCCCUGGAGCCGCCCUGCUGCCCGGGCUCACCAGGCCUGCCUUGCCCCGCCCCCCCACCCAUGUGUUGCACUGCAGCAAGCUCGUAACUUCUUCCCUUUGCUGUCUGUUGGCUUAGAAGUGGGUGCGUGACUUAGUUCUGCCAACAAAACUUACAGGGAAAUGGCUGGGGGACCUUCUGGGGAGAUUUUGCUUUCUGAUUAAAGAAGAGAGAGUGAAGAGGCCUGUCCCGUCUUCCUGCUUUGAACAGGGAUGUUUGAGACGUGAUACUUGGAGCUGUAGCAGCCAUCUUGAGACCAGGAGGCAACAAAACCAAGGGAAAAAGCCAACAUACCAAGCUUGGCCGAGUAGACAGACAAAAAAAAGCCUGGGUCCUUGAUGAUACCGUUGGGCCACUAUACCUAUCCUGGAACCACCUACUUCCAGUCUUACUGAUCGCUAAAUUGAAUGUCUUUAUUUUCUAAGCAGAUUUCUGCUAUUUGCAGCCUUUGGCAUUCUUAACCAGUACAGCACUCCUCUGAACCUCUCUGUCAUCAAUUCCUUAGAGCCCCAUGGCUCUUGGUGUAGCUCCAAAUGGAAAAUCAGCCCAAGUUUAGACACUGGAAAUCUUACUUGCAUGGUAGGAAAUGCAAGUCAAGAUUAGCCACAGCCUACAUAGGCAAGCAACUUUAGCACUUAGUUCCAACUCCCAGGGCCUACAGGGCACCGACAAGGAAGGAAAGAUUCAGGAAAGUUCAGGCGUAUGAGCAUGUCUUCUAAAAUGGGGCUCAUCUUCUAAAAUGGGGCUUAAUGAUGAAUUUUAGAACAAAUCAGUGGGAUAGGGGCGGGGGGGGGGUGGUAUUAAUCCCUGGGAUGCAGAGCCUAAGCACGGGCCAGAAGGCCACGGAAGGCACACGGAAGGAGCAGCAAGUUGGAAUGGGCAAGUGGUGGGUUGGGUUGGAUGAAUUCUAGAGAAGGAGGCCAGUCUCAUGUAGCAGGAUUUUAUGAGCCCCACGUACUAGCUGGAAGAAAUGUAUGGCAGCUAGAACUAAACUGGUGCAAAACUAAGCCCUUUAGUUCCUCUCCAGCCAGCCUUAGUGACAUUGCAUAUCCUCUUGGGAAUAAGGUGCCAUGAGUUGUGGCCACUCCCCACUUUCUCCAUUCUUUGUCCCCUUUCCACCUGUCCCUUUUUUCUCAACCUUUUCUUCCUGUCUUCUCUGUGCAAAGCCAGGAGCCAGAAAUGCACACAACCUGAAUCUCUUCUCCCUCAACUGGGGAAUGGAUAUAGUGGUGAGCAAGGAUGUCUUCUAGGAGACCCAGAAUCCUAGGCUAGGGGUAAGGAGUUAGGUUGGGAGGAGAGAACACAGUCGGUGGAUAAGACCCUGAUGAAGCUUUCUUCUGAUCCAGGUUCCAUCAAGCAAUGUGGUUUUCGUGUUGCUUCAACACAAGAAAAUGUGCCUGACCCUUCCCGCAUGAAAUGAGAAGUUGAACUCAAGAACUGUAGCCCUUCCUCUUUAAAUGUCUAGUUUUAGAUACAAAACAAAGAGAAACUGGCAUCCUCCUAAUGUAGCCUUCAAAUACGAAUGAUUCCAUUACAUUCAGACUUGAGAAAAAUCACCACCCCCUUUUCCCAUCACAAAAUAGUCUUCAGCAGUAAAGAGAUGUGGCCCGUAGAAGUUCCUCGAGUUAAUGGGGCCCGAACACGGAUAUGUUGCAGUCCUAGUAGAAUCUGUAACCUCCAGAUCCUGCCAGUAAGCCUCGCCCCCUCAACGCAGUCCUUACACGCCCUACAUGACUUAUGGAGUCCUGACCCCGAAGGCCCAAGCCAGGCCGACUCUGCUGUUUACCGAUUGCAUGACUUCAUUCAUUCAGCAGAAAUGUACUGAAUACCUACUAGAAUUAGAAGUUAAGCUUAUAAAAGCAAGCUUAUAAGCUUAUCUUCCUUACCUUCCUUAAGGAAGAUAAGUCAUUAGAGACAAAAAAAAAAUUCUAUGAGAUAAUCAGGGACAGAAAUGAAAGCUUUGGUUGCAGUGGAAGAAGCAAAAAGUUUAAACCCCUUCUUAAUGCAAUUAAUGCUUUAAUGCGAUACUUAAUAAACCCUGAAUCCACCCCACUCCACCCCGGCAAAGUUUCCCCAUAUAUCACUAAGGAUUCUCUGAAAUCCAAUAAGGAAAAGAACUGAAGGCUUUUCCUCAGUCUCCACAAUCAAGGUUUUUCUCCAGAAUGAAUUAGCCUGAUUACUGACUAAAAGCUCUCCCACAGUCUUUACAACGAGAGUGUUUGUUUCCUGUGAAUUCUCCAAAGAUGAGAAAGGGCUGCGCUAUCCCCAAAUGACGCUCCACGUUGGUUGUACUCACAGGCUUCUCUCCAGCAUGAAUGAUCUGACGUUCAGCAUACUCCACGCUUCCCCUAGACAGCUUCCCACAUUCAUCACACACGCCCGCUUCACAUCCCGAAUGAAUCAGCUGACAUUGUCUAAGGCUAGAACUCCGAUUGAAGGCUCUUCCUCAUCCAUUCUGCUCCCAGGGCUGCUAUCCGCUCUGAAAUCCCAGAUGUCUAAUUAGCUCUGAGCACUGUCUAAAAGCAUUUUCACAGCCAUUACGUGAAUAUGGUUUUUCUCCAGUGUGAAUUCUCUGACGUUGAAUGAGCUUUACUUUUCCUGAAAGCCCUCACAUUUAUCGCGUUUGUAGCGUUUCUACUGCAUGCGAAUUAGCUGAUGCCGUGUGGUGUCGGAAUGCUGCCAGAUGCCUCCUGCAAACAGGGAUUCUCUCCAAGAUGAAUGUUAGAACGUUCAGUAGGCUGGGAGCCCUGAGAAAAGUGGCCUCUGUACAUAACAGAGAUGUUCUCUCCAAUAUGCAUACUGUAAUAUUGAAUGAAUUCUGAAUUCUGUUCUAAGAGUUGGCCACAUCUAUCUUAUUUGUGGGUUUUCUCACUUCUAAAAAACAUGUGUAUAGAAUUGCAGAUUUUCCCAUAUUCAUCCCAUUCAUGGGACGGGGUCCCUAAUGGUUCUCUAGGAUGUCUCUGUAUUUACAGACCUCUCGAAACUCAGACCUGGUCAGUAUCCCACAGG